CCGGAGCUCUGAGGGGCACUUCCGCUUAGGAGCAAAGGUGGGAGGGUCUCUUAAAAGGGCAAGGACAGACUUUGGCGGCUGUGGAAGUGACGAGGAUGAAUCGGUGUCGGGCGCUGGCUAUCUCCCAGGCAUUGUUCUAAGCACUUUUAUACAGCGUCGCUCCUCCUUCAGACCCUUGAGUCAGGCACUAGAGGAGAAAGACAAGGCCAGAUAUUCGUUGCACGAAGCGAUGAGAAACCCCACUUGGUUUUUUGUUUAAAAGACAUCCAUCCAAGGUGGCCUCAGCGCAGAUACUGGUGGAGGACAGAUCGCGACAGGAGGGGAUAGGAUGAACACACUUUCUAGCCUCGGGGGGAUCUUAUGCUGCUCCCGCACCUGCCUUUUCCGCCGGGCUUCGGGCCGCCCAGGGACGUCAGUCAAGCCCAGGACAGCCGGAUCGGUUGCUCUCCGUCGCCUCCUGGCGGCCCGUGGGGGAACCUGCCCUUGGUGCCCUCUGCAAAACAGAAUAGGGAAUCCGGUUCUGUUGGGCCUGCGGUUAUGUUGGGCCUGCGCCUGGGCGAGUGACCUCAUUUGGGUCAGUUUUCCCCCCAGACUCACCCAUUCAGCUAACAAGGACGCUAGAUUCUCUCCUUCAGGCCAUUAAAAUUAUACGGGAAAGAGAUGUAUGUUUAUUGCAGUCUUAAAAGCUGUAACAGAAUAUAUACUUGAAGCUCUUUUAUUACUGAGGUGACUUACUACUAAAAUAAAUUGCAAGUCGUACUUACUGUGUUGACUUAGGGGCAUAUCUAUGCUAUCACAAGUUACUUUUUAUUCCUAUUUUUUAGAUAUAAGGUCUUGUUAUAUAGACCAAACUGGCCUCGAACACUCUAUGUAAUCCAGGCUGGUCUCAAACUGGAGAUCCUCCUGCGUCAGCCUCUGGAAUGCUGAAAUCAUAGGGUUGCUUGGUCCACGAUGCCCAGCUCAGCAGUCACUUUUUAGCCAAGUGUGGUGUUGCACUCCUGUAAUCCCAGCACUCCGGAGCUAGAGGCCGGAGGAUCUCUGCCAGGGCCACAUAAUGAGUUCAAGGCCAGUGGGAACUGCAUAGUGAGGCCCUGUCUCAAAAACCCCCACAGAAAAACAAAACAGGAAGUCACCUUUUGGGAUAUAGCUCAGCAGCCCAGCACCUGCCUGGCAAGGUUUUGAGUUAGUUUUCCAGAGCCAAAAGAAAAAAAAAAGAAGUCACCUUUUAAAGACAGUGUAGAUUUCACCUGGGUGCAAAUUCUGAUGUCUCUGCUUUCUGAAGUGGGUGGCUGGAGCGUGUGGUGGCCCUUCUCCAACUCUGGCUUCUCAUCUGGCUUCCCAUCUGAACCUCGAACCUUAGCAGUUAACUCAUGGUGGAGAGGAGAUCAAAUCCAGGGCCCCAGCUCUCUGCUCUGUUUCUUUGCAUCGUCCUGUUUGCCGUUUCCUUCACAGAAUGUGCGGUCCCUGAGGAGCUUCUGUCUGUGAGAAAUUUCACUUAUUUGAUGACUGUCCUAAAGCCUAAAGUGGUCACUAGGACCCAGGUGAUGGGAUUGGGGCUCAGACUGUGGUAUCCCACAGUACAGAACCUCAGCAUUUGAAGCAGAAGAAAACUGCCAUUAGAAGACCUCUCAGCUAAGCCAUGGCAGUGUGUUGUUAGCCCAGCGCUGUGAGGUUGAGGCAGGAGGAUGGCAAGUUAGAGGCCAGCCUGGGCGAUUUAGCAACAUGUCAAAACGCCUGUAAUCCCAGCACUGGGGAGACUGAGGUGGGAGGAUUGUUGGGAGUCUGAGACCAGCCUGGGCUGCAAAGUGAGCUCAAGGCCAGCCUGAACUGCAUAGGGAGACCCCGUCUCAAAAAAAAAAGGGGCUAAGAAUGUAGCUGAGUACAAAGGCCCUGGGUUCAAUCUCCGCUGCCACAUAAAUACACAAAUAAAAUGAAAAAUAAGACCUCUCUGACCUUUUCCACCCCCUCCCAAGCCAUGGAAAGUAGCAUUCCUCCUUCCCCAGGUGGGCUGGGCCAUCCAGGACCCAGUUUCUCCCAAAGCCAUAAAACUUGGAAACUUGUGACUCUUAAUUUCCUCUGUGUGUGUAAACGCUGGAUUCUCUCACCUGCUCCUGUCAAAGACCCUGAACCCAGGGGGUCCUGCCUUGAGACCCAAGGCCCCGAGGAGCUGGGACAUACAGGCCUUGUGGUCUCCAUUCUGGCUCCCCUGGGUCACACCCUUCACCCAAUCAGAUUCCUCCACGUUGCCUACACCGCAUCAAACCUCCAGAUAAAGAUGGACAGCUCACCCUGGGUCUCCAUUCUAAAGGCUCCCACCACAUAAAACUUUGAUGGAAUAAAUUGGUUAUGCUUUCUUCCCA